UUGGAGGGCAAGUCUGGUGCCAGCAGCCGCGGUAAUUCCAGCUCCAAUAGCGUAUAUUAAAGUUGCUGCAGUUAAAAAGCUCGUAGUUGAAUUUCGGGACCAUCAUGUCGGUCGUGCCUCGGUACGUACUGGUAUUGUUGGUUUCUCCCUUCUGACGAACCAUGAUGUCAUUUAUUUGGUGUUGUGGGGAAUCAGGACUGUUACUUUGAAAAAAUUAGAGUGUUUAAAGCAGGCUCACGCUUGAAUACAUUAGCAUGGAAUAAUGAAAUAGGACGUUUGAUUCUAUUUUGUUGGUUUCUAGGAUCGACGUAAUGAUUAAUAGGGAUAGUUGGGGGCAUUAGUAUUCAAUUGUCAGAGGUGAAAUUCUUGGAUUUAUUGAAGACUAACUACUGCGAAAGCAUUUGCCAAGGAUGUUUUCAUUAAUCAAGAACGAAAGUUAGGGGAUCGAAGACGAUCAGAUACCGUCGUAGUCUUAACCAUAAACUAUGCCGACUAGGGAUCGGAUGAUGUUAAUUUUUUAAUGACUCAUUCGGCGCCUUACGGGAAAC
rnacentral:rRNA from 4 species